rnacentral:lncRNA from 1 species
AUUCCCUACCUCUUCAAGAAUGGCCUUGUCCUUAAGGUCGAUUGUGAACCUGAUGAGCCACAAAAUAUGAAAAUUGAUGUUUGAUAUACCCCCAAUCUUUCCACGUAGCAUCCUCCUCCUUAAGAUUUGCCCAGUGAAUCAGCACUUUAACCCCUACACCAUUGUCAAUAUUCACCAUUUUCCUUUGCACGAUGGCCACCGAUUGAAUCAACACUUGACUGUUGGUAUCACACAUGGGUGACUGCAGCUGAGGUUCGAUUGUUGGCCCUAUCCGCUUUUUAAGCUGGGAUACAUGGAAUACUGGGUGAAGCUGCGGUCCUUCAGGAAGGUCCAAGAGGUAAGCUAUUGUUCCGAUCUUCUUCAAGAUUUUGUAGGGACCAAAAUAACGAGCACAAAACUUGACAUUCUUUCGAACCUCUAUUAAUGAUAGUCUAUAUGGUUGUAGCUUAAGAUAUACUUGAUCCCCAACCUCCAAAAUUCUUUCUGACCUUGAUCUAUCAGCAAAGAAUUUCGUGCGUGAUUGUGGUCGAAUCAGAUUGUCCUUAAGUGUCUGUAUCAUAUGCUGUCGUUUUGCUAAACUCAGAUAAGCCAUAUUCUGCCCAGAAUUAGGUAGUGAGCCUAAGGGUAUCCGGGGAGGUGCAUACCCAUAUAGUGCUUCAAAAGGUGUGAUCUUGAGGGCGCUGUUUGUACCACCACUCUGCCAUAUGAAGCCACUUGACCCAUUGUUUAGGAUUAUCAAAGUCCAUAGCCCUUACGUAAGUUUCCAUGCAUCUGUUGAGUCUCUCUAUCUGGCCAUCACUCUGAGGAUGAUAAGCUGAACUUAAACUGAGUUUGGUGCCCAUUGAUCUGAAGAGAUGCUGCCAAAAGUGGCUAGUGAAGAAUGGAUCUCUAUCAGACACUAUGGAUCUAGGAAUUCCAUGCAAUCUGUAAAUCUCCUUGAGGAACAAUUAUGCUACCUCUUGUGCUGUAAAAGGAUGUUUAAGAGGCAGAAAAUGACCAUACUUAGUGAACCUGUCAACCACCACUAUGCUUUCUUCUGAUUUGAAUUAGGAAGGCCUUCUACAAAAUCCAUAGAUAUAUCUUGCCAUGCUUGUUCAGGAAUAUGAAGAUGUUGUAGUAACCCAGGAUAGUGCACAUUCUCUGAUUUCACUCUUUGAGAAAUAUCACAUUCACUGACCCAUUUUCAACUGUCAGCCUUCAUAUCGGGCCAAUAAAAAUGCAACUGUAGCCUCUUGUAAGUACCAUGUUGGCCUGAAUGUCCCCCCACUGUAGAUUGAUGUAGUGCUUCCCACACUUUCCUCCUCAAUGUAUUACUCUUUCUCACAUAUAUCUUUUGAUUGUAUCUGAUUAUCUCUUGUUGUAAUGUAUAGUCUGAAUUGUUUUGAGGAGUUGUUAUCAAUUUAGUUAACAUAUGAGUAUCCUUAGGGUCACCUUCAUAAGCUUGACUGAUUUCCUCUAGCCAAGAAGGUUGUGUAGUAGAAAUAGCCAGUAAGGUUGAGUCAUCAAUAUCUUCAUGUCCCCUCGAUAGGGCAUCAGCGGCCCUGUUUUCAGAACCUCUCUUGUACUGGAUUUCAUAGUCUAGCCCCAAGAGUUUAGUGAGGCCCUUAUGUUGCAACACUGUAGUGACCUUCUGCUCCAGUAAAUAUUUAAUGCUCUGGUGAUCUGUUCUCACAAUGAAAUGACCACAUUGUAGAUAAUGUCUCCAUUUAUCUACUGCUGUUAAAACUUCCAUAAACUCCUUCUCAUAUGUAGACAAUCCUCUAUUCCUUGUAGCUAAGGCCUUGCUUAAGUAGGCUAUAGGUCUGCCCUCUUGCAUUAGGACAUUACCCAUCCAUGUAGAACAUGUAUCUAUUUCCACAAUAAAGGUCUUGGUGAAAUCUGGUAGUGCUAAUACAUGUGUUGUGGACAUAGCAUUCUUCAGAUUUUGAAAGGCCUCUUCUGCAAUUUCAUUCCAUUGAAAUUAAUUCUUCUUAAGUAGGUCAGUCAAUGGCCUACUAAUAAUACCAUAGGAUUUCACAAAUCUUCUGUAAUAGCCUGUAAGACCUAGGAACCCCCUGAGUGACUUGACUGACUUAGAUGUAUGCCAAUUCACCAUAGCUUCUAUCUUGGUAGGAUCAGUAGCUACCCCCUGACCAGAGAUUAUAUGACCCAAAAUACUCUACCUUAUCUUGCCCAAAAGCACAUUUGGAAAGUUUAGCAUAAAGUUUUUCCCUCUGUAAAACUUGAAACACCUGUCUGAGAUGAUCCACAUGACUGUCCACUGUUGGACUGUAAACUAAAAUGUCAUCAAAGAAAACUAGAAGAAACUUUGUAACGACCUGACCCGUCGUCCCGUGUAUUUCCGCCCUGUUUUUCCCUUUUUAUGCUUCUAUAUGUUUUAAUAUAUGUAUUUGGAGAGUUUGGAGUAAUUCGGAUGAAGUUCGGAUAUAAAUGAGACAAUUAGUCUCUUUAAGAGGAAGUCAGUUUGGAAAAGUCAACCGAACAUUGACUUAUGAGUUAGAGGGCUCGGAAUGGAUUUCCUAUGAUUCGAGUAGUUUCUGAUGAUGAUUUAUGACUUAAGAGCAAAAUCAGAACUCAAUUUGGAGGUCCGGUGUAGAAUUAGGUAUGGAUCGGCUAAGUUAGAAAUUUGGCGAAGUCUGGUUGAUAGGUGAUAUUUUUAUCUGAGGGUCGGAAUGAAAUUCCGACAUUUGCAGUAGCUCCGUUAGCUGAUUUUUGAUAUGUUUGCAAAUUUUCAGAUCAUCCAGAGGUGUUUAUGUCGGGUUUUGGAGCAAAUGCAAGUUUCGGAAGUUUUAGUUUAGCUUAGGCUUGAAUCUGUGGAAAUUGGGUGAUUUUGAUGUUUGUGAUAGUAUUUUUGUGUUGCAAGCAAGUUUGAAUGAAGUAAUGGGACAUAUUUAUGCAUUUGGUUGGGGUCCCGAGUGCCUCGGGGUGAAAUCGGAUGAUAAAAACGAAGAAUUUUGAAAAUGCAAUAGGUCUGUUGCACAAGCUUCUGGUAUUUCUGUGGAAGCGGAAGAAUUACCGCAAAAGAGGCUACCGCGGAAGCGGUAAUAGAUCGCAGAAGCAGUCUUGGUCCAGCUGGGCGACCGCAAAAGAGGCCAAGUCGACCGUGUAGGCAGAGACCGCGAAAGCGGUUAUUGACCACAUAAGCGGUCUCAGUCGACUCAAGGGAGGCUGCAAAAGCGGUUUAUUGACCGCAGAAGCGACCACAGGUCAAAAAUGGUGAUUAGGACUGGAAGCCUAAGAGAGAGUAAAAUGGUGAUUUGAAAGGGUAGACGGACUUCGUUUUUGUUAAACCUUAUAUGUAUGGAUUCGUGACGAGACGAAGAAUCCAAAGAUGUUACUUUUCAAAUUUUUUGAGAAGUGGGCCCGGGGUUCGGGUUUUACCAACUUCGUGAUUUUCAAUGUUUUUCGAAUAACUUCAAUUGGGUUAUGUUUAUUUAGCCUAUAAUAACAUGUUCGUUGUGAUUUUUAAUAGAUUCGACGCUCGUAGGAGAAGAUUCGAAGGGAAAAGGCAUUCUGGCUAGAGGUGAGUAGUUUGUAUUGAUGAUGGCUUGAGGGUUUGAAACCCCGGUUCAUCACAUCAUCACGCUAUGUUAGGGCGUGACUCGCACCCCAUGGCACGUGCGGGAUGGUAUAUGAUUUGGGAUUGUGACUUGGUCCAUCCCGAGAGCGAAAUAUAAAUUAUUGGUGGCUGAUAUGCACAUUGUGUUGUUGAUAAUUGGGCUUAAUGCCAUAUUUGGGGCCUUGUGCCGAUCUGUAGUACCCGUCUAGGGUGAAUAACAGUGUGAUAACAUGAUUUUGCAUAAUCAUUGAUCUCUGUCCUGUAUUUAAUCACCGUAAUGAAAUGCUAAGUCAUUUUUUCCUGAAAUUAAAUAAUUAAAUUAUAUUUGCCGUAAAAAUCGGAAAGAUGGGAAUUUAGAUUGAAUCUGUUUAUGUGACUCAUAUGCAUAUUGUGGACUGAGCAUGGGUCAAUAAUCGAAAAAAUGGGGAAUUAGAUUGAAUCUGUUUAUGUAACUCAUAUGCAUAUUGUGGAUUAAGCAUGGGUCGGGCUACACGACCUGCACCGGAUAUAUAUUGAUGUUGCGCUUGGGCUGAAGGAGCCCCUCCGGAGUCUGUACACACCCCCAGUGAGCGUCGUCGACGUUAAAUGGAUCGGGCUGCACUUUCCGCAGCGAAUUCAUGUGCAUUGCAUUCCAUUUUUAUCUGAUACUUGGUUGUUAUUGUGAUAUUGUUAUACUGUUAGCCUGUAGCUAAGUUAUAGGAUGGUUAGUUAUAGCUUUGCAUUGUGGUUUUUUCAUGGAUUUCUUAAUUUUAGUCAUUUUCUAUACUUAUUAUUCUCUAAGUCAGUAGUACUCACCCCUACUCCCUGCACCUUGUGUGCAGAUUCAGGUACACCAGAGGCUUAGCUGAUUCUCGUAGUCUCCAAAGAUAUUU